AUUGAACGCUGGCGGCAGGCUUAACACAUGCAAGUCGAACGCGUGGCGGACGGGUGAGUAAUGUCUGGGAAACUGCCCGAUGGAGGGGGAUAACUACAGGAAACUGUAGCUAAUACCGCAUACCAUCGGAUGUGCCCAGAUGGGAUUAGCUAGUAGGUGGGGUAACGGCUCACCAAGCCGACGAUCGCUAGCUGGUCUGAGAGGAUGACCAGCCACACGGGAAAUGAGACACGGUCCAGACUCCUACGGGAGGCAGCAGUGGGGAAUAUUGCACAAUGGGCGCAAGCCUGAUGCAGGCAGGCCGCGUGUAUGAAGAAGGACUUCGGGUUGUAAAGUACUUUCGGCGGUGAGGCGUUAAUCGCAGAAGAAGCACCGGCUAACUCCGUGCCAGCAGCCGCGGUAAUUC
rnacentral:rRNA from 1 species